rnacentral:rRNA from 1 species
CCUACGGGAGGCAGCAGUGAGGAAUAUUGGUCAAUGGCCGUAAGGCUGAACCAGCCAAGUAGCGUGAGGGAAGACUGCCCUAUGGGUUGUAAACCUCUUUUAUGCGGGGAUAAAGGUGUCCACGUGCGGAUGUUUGCAGGUACCGCAUGAAUAAGGACCGGCUAAUUCUGUUCCAGCAGCCGCGGUAAUACGGAGGGUCCGGGCGUUAUCCGGAUUUAUUGGGUUUAAAGGGAGCGUAGGCCGGUCUUUAAGCGUGCCGUGAAAUUUUGUGGCUCAACCAUGAGAGUGCUGCGCGAACUGGAGACCUUGAGUGCGGGGAAGGCAGGCGGAAUUCGUGGUGUAGCGGUGAAAUGCUUAGAUAUCACGAGGAACCCCGAUUGCGAAGGCAGCCUGCCGCAGCGUUACUGACGCUGAAGCUCGAAAGCGCGGGUAGCGAACAGGAUUAGAUACCCGUGUAGUC